UACAGAGGGUGCAAGCGUUAAUCGGAAUUACUGGGCGUAAAGCGUGCGCAGACGGUUGCGUAAGUCAGAUGUGAAAGCCCCGGGCUCAACCUGGGAAUUGCAUUUGAGACUGCGUAGCUAGGGUGCGGAAGAGGGAAGCGGAAUUUCCGGUGUAGCGGUGGAAUGCGUAGAGAUCCGGAAGAACACCGGAGGCGAAGGCGGCUUGCUGGGCUUGGUCUGACGCUGAUACGCGAAAGCGUGGGGAGCAACAGG
rnacentral:rRNA from 1 species